UUGUCUCAAAGAUUAAGCCAUGCAAGUCUCAGUACAGACUGUAUUAAAGUGAAACCGCAAAAGGCUCAGUAAACCAGUUUUAAUUUACUAGAGUAAACUUGACUGUGCUUGGAUAACUGUGGUAAUUCUAGAGCUAAUACAUGCAAACAAACCCCCUGCCAUUUAUGGUAGGGGCUGCUUUUAUUGGUCCAAGACCAUUCGCCCGGUCCUCCGGGCGUCUCCUUGAUGAAUCCAAAUAACACAUCAGAUCGCAUGGUCUUCGUACCGGCGACUUAUCUUUCAAAUGCCUGACUUAUCAACUGACGAUGGUAGACUCUGUGUCUACCAUGGCUCCUACGGGUAACGGGGAAUCAGGGUUCGAUUCCGGAGAGGGAGCCUGAGAAACGGCUACCACAUCCAAGGAAGGCAGCAGGCACGCAAAUUACCCACUCCCGGCACGGGGAGGUAGUGACAAAAAAUAACGAUACGGGACUCGAUAUGAGGCCCCGUAAUCGGAAUGAGUACACUUUAAACCCUUAUUCAAAUAUCAAUUGGAGGGAAAGUUCUGGUGCCAGCAGCCGCGGUAAUUCCAGCUCCAAUAGCGUAUAUUAAAGUUGUUGCGGUUAAAAAGCUCGUAGUUGGUUCUGCGUCCCACGCUGUCGGUACACCUUUUGUUGGUGACACUGGCAUGCCGUGGUAUGUCCUGUCGGUGGCGGCCUUUGGUGGUCCCUAGCGCUUCGGGUCAAACCGUCGUGCGAAGGUCUACCUGGUCGCCGGCUACUAUCCUACCGCGGUGCUCUUCACUGAGCGUCGAGGUAGGCCGACACGUUUACUUUGAACAAAUUUGAGUGCUUAAAGCAGGCAAAAAUCUCUGCCUGAAUAGUGGUGCAUGGAAUAAUGGAACAGGCCCUUGGUUCUAUUUUGUUGGUCUUCGGAACACAAGGAAAUGAUCAAUGUGGACAGGCGGGGGCAUUCGUAUUGCGGCGUUAGACUUGGCAAAUGCUUUCGCGGUGAAAUUCUUGGAUCGUCGCAAGACGCACUAGAGCGAAAGCAUUUGCCAAGUAUGUCUUAAUUGAUCAAGAACGAAAGUUAGAGGUUCGAAGGCGAUCAGAUACCGCCCUAGUUCUAACCAUAAACGAUGCCAGCCAGCGAUCCGCCGAUGUUCCUCCGAUGACUCGGCGGGGAGCUUUCUUCGGGAAACCAAAGCUUUUGGGUUCCGGGGGAAGUAUGGUUGCAAAGCUGAAACUUAAAGGAAUUGACGGAAGGGCACCACAAGGAGUGGAGCCUGCGGCUUAAUUUGACUCAACACGGGAAACCUCACCAGGUCAAGACAUUGGAAUGAUUGACAGAUUGAUAGCUCUUUCUUGAUUCAGUGGGUAGUGGUGCAUGGCCGUUCUUAGUUGGUGGAUCGAUUUGUCUGGUUAAUUCCGAUAACGAACGAGACUCUAGCCAAUUAACUAGACGUUUCCGGUAUCGAAGCUACCGGCGAUAUAUUAUCUUCUUAGGGGGACAGGCGGCUCUUAGCCGCACGAGAUUGAGCAAUAACAGGUCUGUGAUGCCCUUAGAUGUCCUGGGCCGCACGCGCGCUACACUGAAGGAAUCAGCCUGUUCGUUCCCUUGGCCGAAAGGCCCGGGUAACCCGCUGAACCUCCUUCGUGCUAGGAAUUGGGGCUUGCAAUUGUUCCCCAUGAACGAGGAAUUCCUAGUAAGCGCGAGUCAUAAGCUCGCGUUGAUUACGUCCCUGCCCUUUGUACACACCGCCCGUCGCUACUACCGAUUGAAUGAUUUAGUGAGGUCUUCGGACCGGCGGUAAGCCCAACCGGUUUCGGCCGGUUUUGUCGAACGCUGGAAAGAUGACCAAACUUGAUCAUUUAGAGGAAGUAAAAGUCGUAACAAGGUUUCC
rnacentral:rRNA from 1 species